CCUAGAUGUUUGCAACAGGCUGGGCUCUGUGUCGGGACUGAAAACUGAAGGGAAAAUAGACCCUGUCCACACAAGUAUGAUGACUAUGCUGGGAACUCUGCAGAAAGAAGGGAAAGCCUGGAGGGAUCAAGGGCACGAAGAAAGCAAGGCUUUCUAAAUCAACAAAGCGCAAGUGAAGUCACUGAGACCGAGGCAGCAGGUGCGGGGGCUGCACCAGGCUUCCAGUGCUGUGUUGUAUGGGAUUCUAGGACACCAUCAUCCGUAGGAACCGGAGGUCUCUCUCAGAUCAACCUGCACUUACGCUACCGAGGGAGUGCGGACUCUAGGCAGUGCCGUUAUCUCCUGCAGGCUGACACACUACCUCAGCUCUGCUGUGCCUGCAUUUGCUAUUCUGCUUAAUGUGCUGUGGUCUAUGCCCAUGCCAGGGGUUCAAAUGAAGACUUCCUCCAUAGUUCAUCAAUACUUACUUCCCAGAUAGUGGUGCUAUUUGGGGAAGCCUGGGAGGCGAUGUGUGGCCUUGUUGGAGGAAUUGUCACUGAAGGUGAGCUCCGAGAGCUUGAAGGACUUGACCUACUCCCAGUUUUCUUCAGCUUCUUGCUUGUAGGUGAAGAUGUGAGUUGUCAGCUUGUUCUAGCCUCCAUACCUGCUGUUCGUCCCCAUGGUGGACUUUUAUCCCUGUGGAACUGUAAGCCUAAAUAAACCCUUCCUUCUGUAAGUCAUCCUGGCUACAGAGUUUC
ensembl:lncRNA